rnacentral:rRNA from 1 species
UACAGAGGGUGCAAGCGUUAAUCGGAGUUACUGGGCGUAAAGGGCGCGUAGGUGGUUGUUUAAGUGAGAUGUGAAAGCCCUGGGCUUAACCUAGGAACUGCAUCUUAUACUGGGCAACUGGAGUACUGUAGAGGGUAGUGGAAUUUCCGGUGUAGCGGUGAAAUGCGUAGAGAUCGGAAGGAACACCAGUGGCGAAGGCGGCUACCUGGACAGAUACUGACACUGAGGCGCGAAAGCGUGGGGAGCAAACAGA